rnacentral:rRNA from 1 species
UACGGAGGGUGCAAGCGUUAUCCGGAUUCACUGGGUUUAAAGGGUGCGUAGGCGGGUAUAUAAGUCAGUGGUGAAAGCUCCGGGCUUAACUUGGAAACUGCCAUUGAUACUGUAUAUCUUGAAUGUCGUAGAGGUUAGCGGAAUGUUGCAUGUAGCGGUGAAAUGCUUAGAUAUGUUACAGAACACCAAUUGCGAAGGCAGCUAACUAUGCGAUGAUCGACGCUGAGGCACGAAGCGUGGGAGC